GUUCGGUUUGAUAGCUUUAUGGCUCCUUCCCCUUUAGAGGGAGUACUUAUGGAUGGGGAAAAGCUUUUGCCCCUGUUAUUCUACUUAGGUGGAGCAUCUUAUUUCUAGCUUAAUGAUGAUAUGAUAUUUCAUGUGUUUGCUUAUGAUGAAGUCAGAUCAAAUGUCUUGACAUCCUAUCUGAGAGAAUUGAUUUUUUCUCUAAAGCAGGUUCUGUGUGUGAGAGUUUAUUUCUCUCUAUUGCGAGGCUAGGUUUUUCUGUUGUGCUUUCCUUUGUGUGUUUUGUUUUUUCGAUGAUCCAAAUUUAUUUGUGUUUUUUUGUUUUUGCUUGUUUGCUGGUUUUUGUUACCCUCGUUCUAGUUGGUUUUGCAAAGAUUGUUUUAGCCAAAAUUUGCCAAAGGGGGAGAUUGUUAGAUCUGGUGUGUUAGUUAUUUGAUGCAUUUUGGGAAAACAAAGAUGUUGGGCAAGAUGUCUUGACUUGUUGGUACGACAUCAUAGCGAGCCCUGUUUCAGUUUCUCU
rnacentral:lncRNA from 1 species